rnacentral:rRNA from 1 species
AUUGAACGCUGGCGGCAGGCCUAACACAUGCAAGUCGAGCGGAUGAAGGGAGCUUGCUCCUGGAUUCAGCGGCGGACGGGUGAGUAAUGCCUAGGAAUCUGCCUGGUAGUGGGGGAUAACGUCCGGACACGGGCGCCAAUACCGCAUACGUCCUGAGGGAGAAAGUGGGGGAUCUUCGGACCUCACGCUAUCAGGUGAGCCGAGGUCGGAUUAGCUAGUUGGUGGGGUAAAGGCCUACCAAGGCGACGAUCCGUAACUGGUCUGAGAGGAUGAUCAGGCACACUGGAACUGAGACACGGUCCAGACUCCUACGGGAGGCAGCAGUGGGGAAUAUUGGACAAUGGGCGAAAGCCUGAUCCAGCCAUGCCGCGUGUGUGAAGAAGGUCUUCGGAUUGUAAAGCACUUUAAGUUGGGAGGAAGGGCAGUAAGUUAAUACCUUGCUGUUUUGACGGUACCAACAGAAUAAGCACCGGCUAACUUCGUG